rnacentral:rRNA from 1 species
GGUUAAAAAAUCAAAGGAACUAAGGGCGCACAGUGGAUGCCUUGGCACUAAGAGCCGAUGAAGGACGCAAUUAACGGCGAAACGCCACGGGAAGCUGUAAAUAAGUGAAGAUCCGUGGGUCUCCGAAUGGGAAAACCCAUUACAUUGAAGAUGUAAUAUUCUUCUAAUACGAUUUAUCUUAUUAGAAGAAAGGAAACGCGGCGAACUGAAAUAUCUAAGUAACCGCAGGAAAAGAAAGUAAUAACGAUUCUGGUAGUAGUGACGAGCGAACCCGGAACAGCCUGAUAUCAUUUGUAGUUAUAAAAUUUUAACGAAGUAGAAGCUUUUGGAAAGAAGCACCAAAGAAGGUGACAGUCCCGUAAACGUAAGUUAAAAUCUAGGGUAUCAAUAAGUACGGCGAGACACGAGAAAUCUUGUCGGAAGAUGGGAGGACCAUCUCCUAAGGCUAAAUACUUCUUAGUGACCGAUAGUGAACUAGUACCGUGAGGGAAAGGUGAAAAGAACCCCGAAAGGGGAGUGAAAUAGAUCCUGAAACUGUGUGCCUACAAUUAGUCAAAGCACGUUAAUGUGUGAUGGCUUGCCUUUUGCAGAAUGAACCGGCGAGUUAUGAUAUGGAGCAAGGUUAAGUUUUAAGGAACGGAGCCGUAGCGAAAGCGAGUCUUAAUAGGGC